UUUCUUCUUCACGGUGCUGCUUGUUCUUAAGAUCGAUCACACCGUUUCCUACUCUUGGUGGGUUAUUUUCUUUCCAUUGUGGCUAUUUCAUGCAGUUGUUGCACGAGGAAGAUUUUCUCUUCCUGCGCCAUCAGUUCCUCAUGAUCGCCAUUUAAUCAUUCUUCUGCUUUGCACCUUAAAAUUGUCUUCCUUCCUUUGCUGGCAUUUGAGGUUAUCAUCCUUAUUGACAAUUUCAGAAUGUGCAAGGCUUUAUUACCAGGAGAUGAUGAAAGCAUGAGUGAUGAUGCAAUAUGGGAAACACUUCCUCAUUUCUGGGUAGCAAUAUCAAUGGUUUUCUUUGUUGCUGCCACAUUAUUCACC